rnacentral:rRNA from 1 species
CAGCCGCCGCGGUAAUACGUAGGUGGCAAGCGUUGUCCGGAAUUAUUGGGCGUAAAGGGCUCGCAGGCGGUUUCUUAAGUCUGAUGUGAAAGCCCCCGGCUCAACCGGGGAGGGUCAUUGGAAACUGGGAAACUUGAGUGCAGAAGAGGAGAGUGGAAUUCCACGUGUAGCGGUGAAAUGCGUAGAGAUGUGGAGGAACACCAGUGGCGAAGGCGACUCUCUGGUCUGUAACUGACGCUGAGGAGCGAAAGCGUGGGGAGCGAACAGGAUUAGAUACCCCGGUAGUCCCUGUCUCUUAUAA